CGCGGGAUGGAGCAGCCUGGUAGCUCGUCGGGCUCAUAACCCGAAGGUCGUUGGUUCAAAUCCGGCCCCCGCAACCA
rnacentral:tRNA from 1 species